rnacentral:rRNA from 1 species
CAGAUUGAACGCUGGCGGCAGGCCUAACACAUGCAAGUCGAGCGGCAGCACGGGUACUUGUACCUGGUGGCGAGCGGCGGACGGGUGAGUAAUGCCUAGGAAUCUGCCUGGCAGUGGGGGACAACGUUUCGAAAGGAACGCUAAUACCGCAUACGUCCUACGGGAGAAAGCAGGGGACCUUCGGGCCUUGCGCUAAUAGAUG